rnacentral:rRNA from 1 species
GAUGAACGCUAGCGGCAGGCUUAAUACAUGCAAGUCGAGGGGCAUCAAGGUACACGAAAGUGUAUUGUUGGCGACCGGCGGACGGGUGAGUAAUAGGUAGGUAACCUACCUCAUACUGAGGCAUAGCUGGGAGAAAUUCCAGGUAAUUCCUCAUGAGGUUAUAUGACACAUGUGAUAUAAUCAAAGGUAUCGCAAGGUACUGGUAUGAGAUGGGCUUACUGACCAUUAGCUAGUUGGUGAGAUAAGAGCUCACCAAGGCGAAGAUGGGUUAGGGGUUUGAGAGAGAGAUCCCCCACAUUGGAACUGAGAUACGGUCCAGACUCCUACGGGAGGCAGCAGUAGGGAAUAUUGGGCAAGUGGGCGGAAGCCUGACCCAGCCAUGCCGCGUGAAGGAAGACGGCCUUAGUGGGUUGUAAACUUCUUUACUAUGCGACUAACUAGUAUUUACGAGAUAAUUCUAUAGAAUGUAGCAUAGACAAAAGCACCGGUA